CUUAUGGAAUGUGAUCAGACACUGCUCCAGAGAGAUAAGAAUGUUUUAAGUGACUAUUGUAAGGACAGCCUGACCACAAUUUCAGCUGAAUUAAGGACUUGGUCUACAAAGAUCAGGAGACAAACAUUGCGAGUCAGCAGGGAAUUUCUUUGAACAAAGACACAGACGUGUGUUCCGGAAACACUGAAUCUGUUACUUUGGGUGAAUCAUAGAGAUGGACGGUAUACAGAUUUCAGAUAUCAGAUUUCAUGUUUAAAUUGUCCAAAAUACAUCUGAAUUUAAAACUAUGUGGACAAUACACUAUCACUCUCCUGAGUGAAAAACAAAGGAGAACACAUGAAAAUCAAUGAAGUACUGGAAAUAAUCCCAAAUGAUAUUUAAAGAAUGAUAAAAUUUGGAAAAUAGAGUCAGCACUGAUGCUUACUUGGCUAAAGAUCUGAAGCUUGGAAAUAAGAAAUAAAAAGGAU